rnacentral:rRNA from 1 species
UACAGAGGUCCCAAGCGUUGUUCGGAAUCACUGGGCGUAAAGGGUGCGUAGGCCGCACGGUAAGUCAGAGGUGAAAUCCCGGAGCUCAACUCCGGAAUGGCCUCCGAUACUGCCGUGCUCGAGGACUGGAGAGGAGUCUGGAAUUCACAGUGGAGCAGUGAAAUGCGUGGAUAUUGUGAGGAACACUAGUGGCGAAGGCGAGACUCUGGACAGUUCCUGACGCUGAGGCACGAAGGCCAGGGGAGCAAACGGG